rnacentral:lncRNA from 1 species
AUCUGCAAGAGGUUUGCUGUGGUGGGAGCUGUGUGGCUGAGGCUCUAACAGUCUGAGAGGGCAGCUGGAUCCAAGGGAUUAGAGGUCAUGAUAGCUGAGCCUGUCACUUGGCAGGAGGAAACCCGAAGAUGCAGAUGUAGAUGGUCUACAGUCUUCAACGAAUUCAUUGUUCUCUGGAUUCCGUUGGGGCUCAGCCCAUGGCAAACCCAGAAGGAAACCAAAGGGAGGAAGGGAAGCAGGGAGAAAUUGUGUUGCUGCUACAAGAGGAUGGCAGAGAGCUGUGUGAAGAGCACAGAGGAUUUGCUGGAUGCCUCCUACUACUACUCAAUUGUCCAAUCAUUCUUGUCAAUGGGGAGUGGUAGCCACAGAAUAAAAUAA